GUGCUCACUUUAGCAGCACAUAUACUAAAAUUGGAGCAGUACAGAGAAGAUGAGCAUGGCCCCAUGUACAGAUGACAUGCAAAUUCGCGAAGCAUUCCAUAUUAAA
ensembl:snRNA U6 U6 spliceosomal RNA